UACGGGGGGGGCAAGCGUUGUUCGGCAUUACUGGGCGUAAAGGGCUUGUAGGGGGCCAACUAAGUCAGACGUGAAAUCCCUCAGCUUAACUGGGGAACUGCUUCUGAUACUGGAUGGCUUGAGUUUGGGAGAGGGAUGCGGAAUUCCAGGUGUAGCGGUGAAAUGCGUAGAUAUCAUUUGGAACGCCAAUGGUGAAAACAGGCAGCUGGGGAAGUGCUGACGCUGAGACACGAAAGCCAGGGGAGCGAACGGG
rnacentral:rRNA from 1 species